UCGGACGUGGUGCACGGUGCACGCCUGGUUCAAAUAUAGUUGUAGACUCUCGUUCAACUGCCAACAGGAGACCCGGGUUCGACUCCCGGCGUCUGAA